rnacentral:rRNA from 1 species
GAUGAACGCUAGCGGGAGGCCUAACACAUGCAAGCCGAGCGGUAGAGUUUCUUCGGAAACUUGAGAGCGGCGCACGGGUGCGUAACACGUGUGCAACCUACCUUUAUCUGGGGGAUAGCCUUUCGAAAGGAAGAUUAAUACCCCAUAAUAUAAUGAUUGGCAUCAAUUAUUAUUGAAAACUCCGGUGGAUAGAGAUGGGCACGCGCAAGAUUAGAUAGUUGGUGAGGUAACGGCUCACCAAGUCAAUGAUCUUUAGGGGUCCUGAGAGGGAGAUCCCCCACACUGGUACUGAGACACGGACCAGACUCCUACGGGAGGCAGCAGUGAGGAAUAUUGGACAAUGGGUGAGAGCCUGAUCUAGCCAUCCCGCGUGAAGGAUGACGGUCCUAUGGAUUGUAAACUUCUUUUGUACAGGGAUAAACCUACCCUCGUGAGGGUAGCUGAAGGUACUGUACGAAUAAGCACCGGCUAACUCCGUG